UACGUAGGGGGCAAGCGUUGUCCGGAUUCAUUGGGCGUAAAGAGCUCGUAGGCGGCUUGGCAAGUCGGGUGUGAAACCUCCAGGCUCAACCUGGAGACGCCACCCGAUACUGCCAUGGCUAGAGUCCGGUAGGGGACCACGGAAUUCCUGGUGUAGCGGUGAAAUGCGCAGAUAUCAGGAGGAACACCGGUGGCGAAGGCGGUGGUCUGGGCCGGAACUGACGCUGAGGAGCGAAAGCGUGGGGAGCGAACAGG
rnacentral:rRNA from 1 species